rnacentral:misc_RNA from 1 species
UCAAACUUGGUCAUUUAGAGGAAGUAAAAGUCGUAACAAGGUUUCCGUAGGUGAACCUGCGGAAGGAUCAUUAAAAGGGAACCCGAGGGGGGCCAGUCCCCCCCGUCCUCCCACCCAUGUAUAUCAGAGGCCCAUCAUAAGUUACUUCGGCGGAUCUUUUCGCCGCCGAGCAACCAAUUCAAACUCUAUUUUGACGUGUGGUCUGAACAAACACGAAAAAUUUUAAAACUUUCAACAACGGAUCUCUUGGUUCUGGCAUCGAUGAAGAACGCAGC